AAUGAACGUUGGCGGCGUGGAUUAGGCAUGCAAGUCGAGCGAGAACCCCGCAAGGGGGGACAGCGGCAAACGGGGUAGUAACGGGUAGGUGACGUACCCUCGGGUUGGGGAUAGCCACGGGAAACUGUGGGUAAUAACCCAAUAAUCUCCGCAUUCGUGAUGGAUGUGGAGCAAAGGUGUGAUUCCACCUGAGGAGCGGCCUGCUUCGUAUUAGCUAGUUGGUGAGGUAACGGCUCACCAAGGCGACGAUGCGUAGGGGGUGUGAGAGCAU
rnacentral:rRNA from 1 species